rnacentral:rRNA from 1 species
GAUGAACGCUAGCGGCAGGCUUAAUACAUGCAAGUCGAGGGACAGCACGGGUAGCAAUACUGGGUGGUAACCGGCAAACGGGUGCGGAACACGUACACAACCUUCCUUUAAGUGGGGGAUAGCCCAGAGAAAUUUGGAUUAAUACCCCGUAAUAUAGUUGAAUGGCAUCAUUUGAUUAUUAUAGCUACGGCGCUUAAUGAUGGGUGUGCGGCUGAUUAGAUAGUUGGCGGGGUAACGGCCCACCAAGUCUACGAUCAGUAGCUGAUGUGAGAGCAUGAUCAGCCACACGGGCACUGAGACACGGGCCCGACUCCUACGGGAGGCAGCAGUAAGGAAUAUUGGUCAAUGGACGCAAGUCUGAACCAGCCAUGCCGCGUGAAGGAUUAAGGUCCUCUGGAUUGUAAACUUCUUUUAUUUGGGACGAAAAAGGGCCUUUCUAGGUCAACUGACGGUACCAGAUGAAUAAGCACCGGCUAACUCCGUGCCAGCCGCCGCCGUAACAC